UAUUGAACUUACCUUUACCCAUUUUGAGCAAAUUUUGAUGUGUCUGGGACUGGGUAAGUGAAGGGGUGUGGGUUAGCAAAAUUAUCAUUGUAUGAAAUAAAUAUAAGAAUGAAGUUUGAAGGCAUUUAUCGGAUUCAGCUAGUACAGACGAGGUUAUAUUACUUUGUUUGAAAUAAAUAAUAUGGUUUUUAUGAAGCAACCAAAAGUUGAAAAAACGAACACAGCACGAGAGUUGAUUAUAUUAGUAAAACGACGUAGAGAAUGCAACCGACUAAAGUAUCGAUUUUUAAAGGGCUAAAAAUUGUUCGUUAAAGCUCAAGGUAAA